CCAGGAGGCCGCUCGCUCGCUCGGGCUGCGGGGUCCUGUGCUCUCUCCUGCGCCACUUCUCUCUCCCGGCUCAAUCGCGGAGCCUUUUCUCUCCCCCGUCUCGCCGCUGCCGCCAUCUCCACCCCUGCCUGCCCCAGGGGUCUGUGGACGCCCGGGCAGAGAGCAAGCACCGAGCUGGGCCUGCUGGAGACGGGAGACCAGCGGCCCGCCCGCCCGCCCGCUGCGAGCCUCCUGAGCCACUCCGGAACAGCUUACUUUCUGUUUCCAUCUCUUUCGGACCGGGUUGGCCUCUCCAAAAGCCACUUCUCCUAACUCUUAUCAAGGUUCAAAGGCUAAAGGUAUCUACAGGCACUUUACCUGGUCCAUGCACAUGGUAAUAACUUGAAGUCUUUCCCCAACCUUCUUCCAGGUUGCUAACUUUAUUGUACCUUCCUCAGGAAACCAAGGACAACCGUUCACUACAAGAUCUAAAACAAUUAUGUGAUUGCUGUUGCUCCACUUUAACCAAGCAUAUGGCAUAGCAUGUUUACUUCAAGAAGCGUACGGCCGUUUCCAUUUCCCACUUUUUCCCCUGGACUUUUACUUUUUACGAUCUCCUCAGUUUUUUCCAAUUAUCUGUAUUCUCCCAUGUCUGUACCUCGGAGGAAAUUCUCAACAUACCUUUACCUUUUCGGAGUGCUCCGGAUUUCCCCCACUUAAUCCCCUAUACUCUCAGAGCUGACCUCUGUUUGAGACACCACACUGCACUGGUCCUGACGUUGCAAAGUCCUCUGAUGGGGAAGGGGGGAAAGAUAGAAAGAUAGGAAGAAGAAAGAGACGGGUACGGGAGAACACUGGUAAAUACCAGUCAGUAGCAAAUGUAUUUCUCAUAGCCUUUUUAUACUACAGGGCCAUGGGAGGCAAAGACACAAGAUAACAGAAACAAUUUUGCUAAAAUGUACACAAGACAUUUGGUUCCAUCUCCAAACCUUUCUGUUCUUCCACCAAGGUCAAUAGAAUCUUCAGUCCCUAGCCUUGAGCCUGGGUUGUAGGCCCAGAGCUGCCUUGACUCUACCUGGCAGGAGAUCUCUCUCUCUCUCUCUCUCUCUCUCUCUCUCUCUCAGGAGUUGCAAAUGGGUCUCUGAGGAAAUAGCUGUGGGUGUAUAUAUGAAGGCUUUCCCAGAGAAGACCUCUUAGGGCUGACUGUGAGCAGCGCUAGCCCAUGACAUGGGAACCCUGACACAAUGGAAAGUGAGGAAGGUAUCUCAAUGUCCAUAUUUCCUUUCUUUUUGCUUCCUGAUUGCCCUGGAAGUGAGUAAUGCUUCCCUUCCACACUCCCCAUGCCAUGACAUCCUGUAUAAAGGCGUAGGGCCAAAGGAUCAUGGAAUGAAUAUUCUUCUUCUCUGAAGUUCUUUCUGCCAGCUCUUGGAUCACAGUUACAUUUAAGUGUGUGUGUGUGUACAAUUCACUCUUUCUGUUAGGGAGUAGUAACAAAUUGAACAAGCAUGCCACAGCUCAACUCUUGGUGAGUAUUGGUAUGAAUAAAGCAGCCAAGAAUAUCCCUGCAUAAGCAUACAGUGCCCAGGCUGGGAUGCAUGUGUGUGUGUUUUCCUGUGGAUAAAUAUGGAGGUGUGAAUUGAUGGGCUGUGGUGGUAGACUUAUAUUUAAUUUUUUUCCUUUUUUAUUAGAUAUUUUCUUUAUUUACAUUUCAAAUGUUAUCCCCUUUCCUAGUUUCCCCUCUGAAAAUCCCCUAUCCUCUCCCCCUCCCCCCACUACCCAACUCCUGCUUCCUGACCCAGGUGUUUCUCUAUACUGGGGCAUAGAACCUUCACAGGACCAAGGGCCUCUCCUCCCAUUGAUGACCAACUAGGCCAUCCUCUGCUACAUAGAAAAUAUCUAAUAAAAAGAGCCAUGAGUCCC
rnacentral:lncRNA from 1 species